AAGAUUUUAAUGAUCGAACAGAUCAAAAUUUUAAACUUUUGCAUUUAAAUUUUAUCUUAAUCCAACAUCGAGGUCGCAAACUUUUUUUUUUAUUUGAACUAAAAAAAAAUAUUACGCUGUUAUCCCUAAGGUAAUUUUUUCUUAUAAUCAUUAUUAAUGGAUCAUUUAAUCAUUUAUUUAUGUUUAAUUUUUAAAAAAAGUUAAUUUAAUUUUUCUAUCACCCCAAUAUAAUAAUUAAUUUUAUUUCAAUAAAAAUUUUUAUAUAAUUUUAAAAUAAAAAUAAAUAUAAAACUCUAUAGGGUCUUCUCGUCUUUUAAAAUUAAUUUAGCUUUUUAACUAAAAAAUAAACUUCUAAAAAUAAAUAAGAGACAGUUUAUAUUUCAUCAAAUCUUUCAUACAAGUUUUCAAUUAAAAAACUAGUGAUUAUGCUACCUUUGUACAGUCAUUAUACUGCAGCCCUUUAAUUAUUAUCAGUGGGCAGAUUAGACCUUAAAUUAUAUUCAAA
rnacentral:rRNA from 1 species